rnacentral:antisense_RNA from 1 species
UUCUAUGGCGGGCCUUGGUGGGAGCGUGCAUGCACGCGCCGGUUCCUUCGUACCGGUACGCCAAUCCUGCCAUGUGCCUGCCACCCCC